rnacentral:lncRNA from 1 species
UACCUCUGAUAUCCGAUCUGUCCAGGGCUAAUUAAUACUGUGAAAAGCUACUAGAUAUAUUUUGGGAAAUUGUUAAAAAUACCAUUUUCAAAGUACCACUUUUCAUGUUUACACUAACCACUUUUACUCUCAUCUUUAAUGAAGGGUUAAAGACAUAUAUAACGACUUGAUUAAUUUUGACGAAAAAACAUAUGGUUAACUAAUCUAAACUUAAAACAUCAACUCUAAAUCCUAAAUCAUCAACUCUAAACCCUAAACCAUGAAAAAUCAACUCUAAACCCUAAAACCCGAAACAUCAACUCUAAACCCUAAACCUUCAAAUCUAAACCCUAAAACAUCAAUCUCUAAACCCUAAACGUAAACCCUAAACCAUAAACCCUAAACCCUAAAUCUAAACUUAAAACAUCAACUCUAAAUCCUAAAUCAUCAACUCUAAACCCUAAACCCCGAAACAUCAACUCUAAACCCUAAACCCCGAAACAUUAACUCUAAACCCUAAAUUCUAAACCUUCAAAU